GACGAACGCUGGCGGCGUGCCUAAUACAUGCAAGUCGAACGCACUCUUGUUAGAUUGAAGAAGCUUGCUUCUGAUUGAUAACAUUUGAGUGAGUGGCGGACGGGUGAGUAACACGUGGGUAACCUGCCCAUCAGAGGGGGAUAACACUUGGAAACAGGUGCUAAUACCGCAUAAUUCCUUUUACCGCAUGGUAAAAGGCUGAAAGGCGCUUCUGGUGUCACUGAUGGAUGGACCCGCGGUGCAUUAGCUAGUCGGUGGGGUAACGGCCUACCGAGGCGAUGAUGCAUAGCCGACCUGAGAGGGUGAUCGGCCACAUUGGGACUGAGACACGGCCCAAACUCCUACGGGAGGCAGCAGUAGGGAAUCUUCGGCAAUGGACGAAAGUCUGACCGAGCAACGCCGCGUGAGUGAAGAAGGUUUUCGGAUCGUAAAACUCUGUUGUUAGAGAAGAACAGGAGAAGUAGUAACUGGCUUCUUUUUGACGGUAUCUAACCAGAAAGCCACGGCUAACUACGUGCCAGCCGCCGCGGUAGUAA
rnacentral:rRNA from 1 species